rnacentral:tRNA from 1 species
GGAGAGGUGUCCGAGCGGCCGAAGGAGCACGACUGGAAAUCGUGUGUACCCGAAAGGUACCGUGAGUUCAAAUCUCACCCUCUCCGCCA